rnacentral:rRNA from 1 species
GACGAACGCUGGCGGCGUGCCUAACACAUGCAAGUCGAACGGGGGGAACAUGAAGUAUUUCGGUACGGAAUGCGCCCCUAGUGGCGAACGGGUGAGUAACACGUGGGCAACCUGCCCCAGACUGGGGGAUAACAUUGUGAAAACAGUGCUAAUACCGCAUGACAGGGUUCCGGGCAUCCGGGACCCUUGAAAGGAGAAAUCCGGUCAGGGAUGGGCCCGCGUCCAAUUAGCUAGUUGGCGGGGUAACGGCCCACCAAGGCGACGAUUGGUAGCCGAACUGAGAGGUUGAUCGGCCACAUUGGGACUGAGACACGGCCCAGACUCCUACGGGAGGCAGCAGUGGGGAAUAUUGGGCAAUGGGCGAAAGCCUGACCCAGCGACGCCGCGUGAAGGAUGAAGGUCUUCGGAUUGUAAACUUCUUUGAUCAGGGAAGAAGAAAUGACGGUACCUGAAAACAAGCCACGGCUAACUACGUG